rnacentral:rRNA from 1 species
CCUACGUGAGGCAGCAGUGGGGGAUAUUGCACAAUGGGGGAAACCCUGAUGCAGCGACGCCGCGUGUGGGAAGACGGUCCUCUGGAUUGUAAACCACUGUCCCCAGGGACGAAGCUGACGGUACCUGGGGAGGAAGCUCCGGCUAACUACGUGCCAGCAGCCGCGGUAAUACGUAGGGAGCGAGCGUUGUCCGGAAUUACUGGGUGUAAAGGGAGCGUAGGCGGGGAUGCAAGUUGGGUGUCAAAACUACCGGCUCAACUGGUAGUCGCACUCAAAACUGCAGCUCUUGAGUGAAGUAGAGGCAGGCGGAAUUCCUAGUGUAGCGGUGAAAUGCGUAGAUAUUAGGAGGAACACCAGUGGCGAAGGCGGCCUACUGGACGGUGACUGACGCUGAGGCUCGAAAGCGUGGGGAGCAAACAGGAUUAGAUACCCUUGUAGUC